CGUGUGAACUCCCUUUUUGAAUUUAGGCGUCACUUCGACAACACCUUGAAAGGUUGAAAGUGGCAAGAUAACUUCUCUUACUUGGACUAUUGGAAAGAGAAACAUGCUGAAUGAAAAAUUGAAAGUGGCAAGAUAACUUCUCCUUUUUGGACUAUUGGAAAGAGAAGCAUGCUAAAUAAAAACAUCUACAACCCGGCCUCCAUUCGAGAUGGGUGAGAUGUUGCAGAAUUCUUCAGGUGAAUACACUUGGUCGGAAGAUAUCUUCUUUUUAUGGACUAAGGAAAAGAGAAACAUGCUGAAUGAAAACAUCUACAACCCGGCCUCCAUUUGAGAUUGGUGUAAAGUUAGAGAUUCUUCAGGUGAAUACGAUUGGUUAAAGGAACUCAAGAUGUUGUUUCUUAUCCAGAGCCAGACUGUUAGACAGGCAAGAACAGACUUCAUGUCGGGACCUACGCAUUGGCUCAACCAUGAGUGUUAAAGCUGUAAUAUCUGCUUCCUCUCCACAACCUGAUCAAGUUGCCCACCAUCGAAAACUGUGCAGGACAUGGCAAGGAAGUUUACAAGCAGUCAGUGUUGAUGUGAAUGUUCUUGGAGCUCAACCUUCAUCUGCGGAAUGUAGUUCAGUGGUUCAUCAAUCUUGAAGAACGCCAUUUGCUUUAGAAGUUAUUCCUAAGAAAAAGAUUUACAAGGAUCAGAUGGAACAGAUGUUGGUUUCUCACAUCUUCCCAGAAUUCCAGAGUCUGCAUGGCUACAUGAGAGCGAGGGGAUGUGUUUGUACCAAGCAACGAUGCUCUGCUUGGGAGAAGUCGACAUGUCUUCACUGGAUGCCGUACUGUUGUGGACCUGGAGAUAUGUGUUUAUGCCGUUUUAGUACUUGGAGUUCAAGCUUCAUCUGAGGAAAGAUGUUAGUGGUUCUUCAAACUUGAAGAACAUCAUUUGCUUUAAAAGAUAUUCCUAAGUGUUUAUGCCGUUUCAGUACCUGGAGCUCAAUUUUCAUCCGAGGAAAGAAGUUAGCAGCUGAUCAAUCUUGAAGAGCUUCAUUUGCUUCAGAAGAUAUUCACAUGUGUUUAUGCUGUUUCACUACUUGGAGCUCAACCUUCCUUGAGUAAAGAAGUAAGCGGAAAGUCAAUUUUGAAGAGCUUCAUUUGCUUCAGAAGAUAUUUACAAGCUACUUUUCUCCAUCCAUCUUUUCAUCCAUGCUGUUUCAGUACUUGGAACUCAACCUUCAUCCGCGGAAUGUUGUUAGCGGUUUGUCAAUCUUGAAGAACGUCAUUUGCUUCAGAAAAUAUACCUAAGUACUUGGAGCUCAACCUUCAUCCGAGGAAAGAAGUUAGCAGCUGAUCAAUCUUGAAGAACGUCCUUUGCUUCAGAAGAUAUUCCUAAGGACCUCUCAACUACAUUUGACACACUUAAAGCAGAAAGACGGCAUUUGACACUUCGUACAGCAGCAGGACGGCAUUUGUUCUCUGUGCAUUCAGAAGUAUGCAGUUGCCUGCCCAGUUAGUACUAUCGUCAGGCGCAAAUCAGGAAGAGAUAAAAAUUUGUAAUUAUCAACCUGCGUGUAAUAGAGGGGAAUCAUGAGCAAUUGAGCAUUCAAAUAAUCAGAAUAUACACGUAUAAUGAAAUAUGAUGAUACGCAUUGAUUGGAAAAGGUUUAAUGUUGAGUGGAAGAUUGUAAUUUGAAAUGUAAGCAGGUUGAGACACAUUGGAAAUGCAGUCUCAUUCACGUUCUGUGCUUUUUAUGCCUCUGCAACGAAGUAGCCGGAGGCAUUAUUGUAAAUGAGUUCACCUUGACCCAAAAUUUUGCUAUAUGCCUACAUUACAAGAUAAGGUUGUCAGUCAAGAUACAUGUAUAUGUCCCUCUAUAUGAAAAGAUCUCAUCAGAAAGAUAAUAAACACUUUAUUUCAUUAAUCAUUUCUCUACAGUACUCUUCUCUUUUAUUAAAAAAAGUAUAUGAGAGGUAACUGUUGGCCUGUUCUAAUCACAAAUACAAACGUAAGGUGUGAGAAAUAAGUUUUUCUCUUACCUAAAACAAAGGAGCCAGUACAAGUCAAACCCAUGUCUGCUCUCCCCAAAGGCAAGAUGGAAAUCACAACAUUCUUAUCAGGAAUGCUACCAGUGGUAACUCCAAAAGAGGGAGGAGACAAGAAAGUGAGAGAGUUACCUUAGUUUUUUCGACCACUCGAAAUUGUUUCAUUGGCAUUGUUGUGGCUGAGUAGCAGAGCUGCCAACCAUUGUUUUUUCCGCAAAAUUCCUUGAUCAUGAAGAAAUCAUUUAUAAGCUAUUUUGCAUACAAUAGAUAAUACUUCUAUUUUCUGCAUGGUGCCUCUGUGGUCUUCAACCCCACUGAAUAUGGAAAGUCAGAUCCCAUUUUCUUAUUCUAUUUUUCCAGUUACCGCUUUAUAACAUCCAGUGUUGGUGCCGAUGAGCAGCAGGGUUGUGUGGUUUUUAUUUUUAAAAAUUCAUAGUGGGCUAAUGUGUAAAAAGUAACCAAUCCGGACUUUGAAAAACAUGACCCAUGAGCUUAGGUGCUAAGAACCUCGACCCGUCUGGUCUGGCCUUGGUAAACGUAAGGCCGUAUCCUUAUCCAGUAAUGCUCUACGCUUAUGUAUAACUUGUUUCACCGUUUUGUGGUUAAAAUGUUCCGCGAUUUUAAUAUUAACUUUCUUGGCAUGCUCAUAUUGAAUCAUGGGCUGCCUGAGUAGGAGGACUUCUUCUUCUGUCCAAAUGUCCCUCCGGUUUCUCAUUGUUUGUUUUCUCGCACUUUCAUCUUAUCUGGCCCUUCUUCUAGUGCUCAGACAUGCAGACGGGUGUCUAUGUCGCUCGUGCUGAGACAGCCCUCUUUUCGUUCUACUAAUAAAAUAGAGUUAAAAAAAAAAAAUUAUAAAUUAAUUAUAAUAGAAAUCAUAUCAAUCAAUCAAUAUUUUUAAAAUAAACGGACAUUAUAAAAGAAAAUCAAAUAUAAUUGAUAAAAUAGCAUGUAUGUUGACAGCUUGUCAUUGACUUCUUGUGACCAAACGCAGCUCCUGAAAGUAAAUUGAUU